AGAGGAGGGACAACAUCAACACGAACAUCUUAGCAUUAGACAGAUAUGGAGCAUGCUCAGAGAUUCGGCUGCGGUGCAAGUGGCCAGGCAGGGAUUACUAAUCAACCCUUUCCAUCAAUGCCUUAGCUAUUUGGGGCAAAUGGCUGAAGCCUCAUAGGAAAAAGAACGCUAUGCAGAUCAAUGCUGGGAGAAAAAAAUUUAAAUCCUAGGAAAUUCACCCGAGAAAUGGUAUUAAAUGUUAAUCUGAUUGCUGUAGCUUACUUCCCAAGGUUUGAAACAGUACAAGAAAUAAACAGAAUCAGACGAGCAGAUCAGAGUGUAAGUCAGUCUAAAACUUCUAUAUAAGGAAAAGUCUGAAGGGAAAAGGAGACAGACUGGAGAGUUGGCCUGGCAGUGGGGAAGAGGUUAAUGUUCUGCAUCUGGGUCUGAGGAGCUGGCUGGGGACAAACAAGAGGCACAGUGACACGGUGACUCAGGCUCAAGUCAUAGCUCAGCUGAGGACUAGCUGUGUGAUCUGGGGGCCAAGGGAAGGACCAGCAACCAGGUCUGAAAUGAGACCUGCAGUACCAUCCUUCUUCUGCCUCCCCAAAGUCUAUGGCUGCAUUAAAGGAGCUGCAUCAUAGGCUUGCUCCCCGUCUGGGGGAAUGUGUCUCCUUGCUGAAGACCUUCAGUUAGGUUUGAAAUAUCCUGUGGUUUGCUAGAGCAGAGGAAGCUGACUGACGGAGACGGCUGGCAGGAUCUUCUGAGACAGAAGUCGAGAGAGCCUCAGGGCUGCAGAGUUUGAAGAGUAGGUAUCCAUAUGACUGACUCUGUGUAGUGCUGCUGGAAAGAGGGCCACAGGGCUAGAGAGAUCAGGCGUAGGAGAGGGCAGUCAAGCAGGAAAAAGUGAGGGAGGAAUGGGAAAUGGGUUCUUCUGGUGUUUUUGCUUUGUUUGGUUGGUUUGGGAAGUAGUAGGAAUGGAAGCCAGGACCUUAUGCCUGGCAGGGAAAUGCUCUACCCCCGAGUGAUACAUAGCUCCUGUCCCACUUUCAGGUUCUGAAGGCAGAGCGGUGCCAUGGCCGAGGCUGUGAGUAAAAGAGAUGCUUCUGUGCUGCACAUCGGAAGGUGUUAUAUGCAGUUUAUCUGGUGAAGUCACUUCCGGGAGACAGAGCUCAGGAGCAGGGGGAGGGGGUUGUAAUGCAUGUGCGAAACUAAUCCGGCAACAGCAGGCACAUACAGAUGAAGGGAACAGAAACUACCUUCUUCUGUGGGAUCAUCGUUAAAUGGUCUCCAGAGAGGGUGGGGACCAUAAGGUGGAUGCUAGUCGGGGGCAAAAUUCCCCCAACAUAUUUCCCUACUCUUAGGGGUGGGUAGGUAUGAGGGCUCAGUGGGAAAGAUAUGAAUCAUGAGCUAUCUCUCAGAGGUCUCUGGCUUAUGAAUUAUUCAUUUGUGGUGUGUUGUGGGAUGAGUGCCAUUGCCUGGAAAUUUGUGGUUUGUUUCCUUUUGUCCUGAGAGAGAGAGAGAGAGAGAGAGAGAGAGAGAGAGAGAGAGAGAGAGAGCGAGAGCGCAGAUCUUCCUGGUGGUUUUAGAAGAAGGAGUUGGAUCCUCUGGAGCUAAAAUUCUAGGUAGUUAUAAGUCACCCAGUGAGUGUGCUGGGAACCAAAGUCAGCUCCUCUGGGAGAUCAGCCAAGUGCUCUUAACUGUUGAGUCAUAUCUCCAGCCUCACAGUGAAACAUUCUUAGGCCUCUCCAAACCUACACAGACAUACUUAAUGAUAUGUAUUAGACUGAACCAUGUAAUACCAGGUAGCUGCCAAUUUUAUACCCAGUAAAAUAUUACUUUUGUAUGGCUCAAAUUCAAUCUGGUUCUCUUAAAAAAGGACCAGAAGGUCCUAUUUAUGAUAUUAGGGAGGAAAUAUUCAACAACCUUACCCAUCUGUGAGCCCUGCAAGCCUGACAAGAGAUGCCUACUAGUACAACAGUGGUACAACUAUCAUGGGAGAAACCAGCUACUUUCUAAUUGGAUGCAAAGCCCACCUCAUGAGAUAGAACUCACAUCUGUUACUAUUAAUUGGGUCACAAACUCAUGACUGCCGGGCCUUAGGCUUUAAGGGAGAACUUAUUACUAUUAUUAAUAACUUAUUACUAAAUUAACAUAGUAGCAUAUUGUCCUUUAAGUUAUUAUCUUUAUAUUCAUAUGUUAUCACAUCUCUUAGCCUUCAUCAGAGAAGCUUCUUUUUGCAGUAGACGGAGAUUAACACAGAGAUCCACAAUUAGUUAACAUGCAGAGAAAAAGAUUAUAGAGUGCUCAGUUCUAAAUGGGACAUGUAUACCAUACACUCUUCCUCCAAAGCUCUGGGAUCAUUACAGGAGAGGCAGUAGAAAGAUCGUAAGAGCCAGAGGUAGUAGAUCUGUGCAGUGAAACAUUUGCUAAAUAGCAGGGCAAAGCCCAAUAGCUCUGACUACAUGUACAAGACCUGCACAAGAUCAAGCCAGCCCAAAUCUCAGCUCUGAUGGGAGAGGGGCUCAUGAAGUCCCGCCCCUAACUAAGGAGCUACUGGCAGUUGAUGGCUACUAGGCAAAGGACAGGAUUUUCUUCAGGGGUUGGUUCCUAAAAGGUUAUCCAUGUUCCAAUAGAUACUGCUGUGCCCACAGACAGACAGACAGACAGGCAGGCAGACAGACAGACAGACAGACAGACUAAGUGAAUUGAGUCAGUUGAGGAGGAGAGAGGGGGAGGGCAGACUAUGUUAAGUCGAGAGGGGGGAGUGCUAGAGGGGAGAAAUCGGGGGAGUGGAUUUGAUCAGAGCACAUAUGACUGUAUGAAAUUAUCAAUUAAAAGGAAAAAAAGCUGCAGUAUUGAUGCGCACCUUUAAUCCCAGCCCUAGGAAAAUAGAGCCAGGCAAAUCUGAGUUCCAGGACAGACAGGGCUACACAAAGAAACCCUGUCUUGAAAGACAAAAACAAAAACAGAACAAAAAAGUCCUUUCUAAUUCAAGUGUCUCUGAGCAGGUUUGAUUCCAUUGCAGCCCAAGGGGGGUAGAGAUGCACCAGCCCUUUCAGGACACUCGAUCAGGGCUCCACUGAGCUUUCUCGUCUUAUAGACAAACAGACUGAAGUCCCUUACUUGCCACUGCCCUCAGAACCCAAAGCCUAGUCUGUCCCCCGCAGUGUUCC
rnacentral:sRNA from 1 species